GACUUCAUGGCGCAACGGGAAGCGCACCGGGCUUAUAGUCCGGAGGUUCUCCGAUCGAAACGGAGUGAAGUUA